rnacentral:lncRNA from 1 species
AAUUCAUGACUUUGCAGGUUCCUUUUCUUCGAAUUAUCUUAACUUUUUUUACUCAAUUAUAUUUGCUAUUUAUUUUAGGAACAAUUUUAGAGGAUGUCACGAAUUCUCUAGAUAUUGAAAUUAGAACUUUGAAAUAUAUACAAAUAGGACAGGGUUGAUUGAAGUGUUGGUCAAUCUUUUGAGGUUUAGUUCACGUAAUUCUUACUUUAGUAUUAGAUUAUUUUUUAUGCUUCUACCAUCCUUGAAAGCCAAAAUUGGCUCAAUUUGUCCGCAUUUCUUUUGCGACCAAUACCUAAACAUAUCAUGAAUGGGGGGUCUAUCUUCUUGAAAAAAUAUUCUUUAACUUUUUGCGUUAAAAUGAUUUUUUUUAAUGAUAAAUGGUUGAAAUUAUCUGCAUGUCUGAUCUGAGUAUUUUAAGGAUGUUAUUGUAGGACUAUUUCAAGUAUGGUACCGACAAAGCAAUCGAUAAUCCAUGGGCAUCUAUUAUCUCGUGCUUCCUUCUUAUAAAGUUGGCUCAGAGUUUGUGAUCAUGAAUUUGUAUGAAACCAUUUUUGUUAAAUUUGUGGUAUAGUUUAGCGCAAUACGAGUAUUUACAACUUACAUAUAUGUAUGCCAUUUGGAUUUACAGAUGUCUUACAUAGUUGGUUUCUUAAUUUCAGUAUACAAUUUAAAUGGAGGUAUAUGUAAUUGGGGCAAUGGGUUCCUUCUGGUGGUUCAAGUGCGAGAAUAUUUUUGUUUAUGACUGAGA